rnacentral:tRNA from 1 species
AUGUCUUGUAGUAUAUUACCUCAAUACUGUAAACUGCAACUUUACCAAAACUAUUAGUCAAGACAUACCA